AGCAGCCGCGGUAAUUCCAGCUCCAAUAGCGUAUAUUAAAGUUGUUGCAGUUAAAAAGCUCGUAGUUGAAUUUUGGAUUCUUCCAAUUGGUCGAUCUUUUAGAUGAGUACUGGUUGUGUGGGGUCUAUCCGCCUGGUGAUACGUAAUGUCCUUUAUUGGAUGUUGCGGGUAGUCAGGACCUUUACCUUGAAAAAAUUAGAGUGUUUAAAGCAGGCUUAUGCCGGAAUACAUUAGCAUGGAAUAAUAGAAUAGGACGAAGUUGUUUUAUUUUGUUGGUUUCUAGGACAACCGUAAUGAUUAAUAGGGAUAGUUGGGGGCAUUAGUAUUCAAUUGUCAGAGGUGAAAUUCUUGGAUUUAUUGAAGACUAACUACUGCGAAAGCAUUUGCCAAGGAUGUUUUCAUUAAUCAAGAACGAAAGUUAGGGGAUCGAAGACGAUCAGAUACCGUCGUAGUCUUAACCAUAAACUAUGCCGACUAGGGAUCGGGCGAUGUUGUUUCCAUGACUCGCUCGGCACCUUAUG
rnacentral:rRNA from 1 species